ensembl:lncRNA
UAGUGGUUAAACUGAUAAUUACAGUUAUUUUGCUCAACAUUAUAAUCAUAAUUACUAAUCAUGAUUAUUGUUUUUGAGUAAUUGCAUCAGAAUUAUUGACCUUUCACCUACAAGCACAAAUCAUGAGUGUUAACUUCAUUUGACCUCAUCUAGUUUCCUGAUUUAGUGUAUUAUAUUAAAUAUAAACACACUCUCUACAUUAUGAACACAUUGUCUCUGUGUGUGUGUGUGUGUGUGUGUGUGUGUGUGUGUGUCUGACAGCAAUACUUCCACGCUGGGGGUGUGGGUCUGAAGAAGACGUUUCUGGAGAAGAGUCCUGAUCUGCAGUCUCUGCGCUAUGCGCUGUCUCUCUACACGCAGGCCACAGACAAACUCAUCCGGAAGUUCAUCCAGUCACAGCACACUCAGGUUCACGGUGGUAAAGGCGUGCGAUACACUCACAGUGAAGACGUUUAUCCAGAGAAAGGUGUGUCUCUGCAGAUCUCUUCUCCACUCAUGCACCUCACUUAUAUUCAUGUGUCCAGAUAAUCAUUUCCAUAUUCAUGUCAAUAUCACCAGCUGCUCUAGUUCUCCAGAUUUACACAAAAUAAACAGUUUUUUUUCAUGGUUUACCUAAUAAAAAUGUCUGGGGAAAAACAGAAGAUCUGUUUGUUAAUUACUAUAGUAAACUAAAAUUAUUAUUUGUACUGUGGUAGCUUGAAAUUGGCUGCAACAGAGAGAUUCUGGAAGCAUCUUAAACAGUUUGAAGGAGAUGUUUACUCAGUUAUUAUGAUAUUUCAGCAGUGGCUAUAGUCAAUAUGGUGUUUUGGCAGAAGCUAUAAUUACUGUGGUGCCUUUUUGUAAGGAGAGACAAUAGAGAUGCACAAUUUGGUGGAAUUUGAAUUUGAUUUGGUGUCAUCUUGAUGGCUGAGUUAGCUGUUAGCAUUGAUCUCCUCUGGUUAGUGAGAGUGAAUGUUAUGGAUGACUAUAUUUUGACAUGUUUUUACACACAGUAAGUGUCACAUGUGUAUGGUUUGAUUCUGCUGCCCUCUGCUGGAACAACCUCUAAUAGCACUAAAGACACUAACACAAGCAGGCCUGGUGUAAGACCAUAUAUAUAUAUAUAUUUAGAUUGAUUGAUUGAUUGAUUGCCAGCCGAACCCCUUUGAUGUAAAAUAUUUGCUUGAAGUCCCAAUGAGAUUUUAAGAUGAUAAUUCAAUAAUUUAACAAUACAUUUUUUAUUGUUAUUGUUUUGUCAUAUAUACAUUAUUUUUUAUCAUAUAUUUUAAUUGUUUUUAUUUUUGAAUUAUUUAUAUAUACAUAUAUAGGGCUGUAUGACUGCCAAAAUGUUUUUUUUUUUUUUUUGUCAUGCAUAUAUUAUUUUGUUUAUAUAUUUUGGUUGUUUUUGUUUUUUAGUUAAUUAUAUAUAGGACUGAAUGACGGCCAAAUAAUUUAAUUGUGAUUAUUUUGUCAUUUUUAUUUUAUUUUUGUUUUUUGGUGUCAUUUGUAUAGAAUUUUUUUCAUGUAUUCUCUGAAUGUUUUUUUAUUUUACAAAUAUUUAUAUAUAGGACUGCACGACUACCACAAUUUUUUAUUGUGAUUAUUUUAACGUAUAUAUUAUUUUGUCAUAUAUUUUA